CUGGCCAUAAACGAUGUCCACUAGACGAUAGCGACUCUCACGUUGUUAUCGUCGUAGCAAAAGUGUUAAGUGGACCGCCUGGGAAGUACGGUCGCAAGGCUAAAACUCAAAGAAAUUGACGGGGGCUCACACAAGCGGUGGAGCAUGUGGUUUAAUUCGAAGCAACGCGCAGAACCUUACCUGGGCUUGACAUGCUGUGUUCAGUCUAUGAAAGUAGAUGGCGUAGCAAUACGCGAACAGCACAGGUGC
rnacentral:rRNA from 1 species